AUUGAACGCUAGCGGCAGGCCUAACACAUGCAAGUCGAGCGGAUGAAGGGAGCUUGCUCCUGGAUUCAGCGGCGGACGGGUGAGUAAUGCCUAGGAAUCUGCCUGGUAGUGGGGGAUAACGUCCGGAAACGGGCGCUAAUACCGCAUACGUCCUGAGGGAGAAAGUGGGGGAUCUUCGGACCUCACGCUAUCAGAUGAGCCUAGGUCGGAUUAGCUAGUUGGUGGGGUAAAGGCCUACCAAGGCGACGAUCCGUAACUGGUCUGAGAGGAUGAUCAGUCACACUGGAACUGAGACACGGUCCAGACUCCUACGGGAGGCAGCAGUGGGGAAUAUUGGAUAAUGGGCGAAAGCCUGAUCCAGCCAUGCCGCGUGUGUGAAGAAGGUCUUCGGAUUGUAAAGCACUUUAAGUUGGGAGGAAGGGCAGUAAGUUAAUACCUUGCUGUUUUGACGUUACCAACAGAAUAAGCACCGGCUAACUUCGUG
rnacentral:rRNA from 1 species